rnacentral:lncRNA from 1 species
GGGGUUUUUGCGUGCAAGAUGGCUGUCAUAGUCAUAAAAAAUCUUUGAGGGGGCCUUCAAAUACAUUUUAAUGUUGUUUUUUGGCUUCUUCAUACUUUUAUAAGCUUAAAGUCAUUGUAAAACUAAUUGUUUUGUUUAAAACUGUGGACAAAAUUGAUCUUUCAAAAUUUCAAUUUGGGAGCCUCCAUGGGGGAAAUCCCCCGCAAAUAGUGACAGUUGGCAGGUAUG